UACGUAGGGACCAAGCGUUGUUCGGAUUUACUGGGCGUAAAGGGCGCGUAGGCGGCAAUUCAAGUCAUCUGUGAAAUCUCCGGGCUUAACCCGGAACGGUCAGAUGAUACUGCUUUGCUAGAGUGCGGAAGGGGCAAUCGGAAUUCUUGGUGUAGCGGUGAAAUGCGUAGAUAUCAAGAGGAACACCUGAGGUGAAGACGGAGACCUGGGCAGAUAUUGACGCUGAGGUGCGAAAGCGUGGGGAGCAAACAGG
rnacentral:rRNA from 1 species